AUUGAACGCUGGCGGAAUGCUUUACACAUGCAAGUCGAGCGGCAGCGCGGGGCAACCUGGCGGCGAGCGGCGAACGGGUGAGUAAUACAUCGGAACGUGCCCAGACGUGGGGGAUAGCCCGGCGAAAGCCGGAUUAAUACCGCAUACGAUCUGAGGAUGAAAGCGGGGGAUCGCAAGACCUCGCGCGUUUGGAGCGGCCGAUGGCAGAUUAGGUAGUUGGUGGGGUAAAGGCUUACCAAGCCUGCGAUCUGUAGCUGGUCUGAGAGGAUGAUCAGCCACACUGGGACUGAGACACGGCCCAGACUCCUACGGGAGGCAGCAGUGGGGAAUUUUGGGCAAUGGGGGAGACCCUGACCCAGCGACGCCGCGUGAGGGACGAAGGCCCUUGGGUCGUAAACCUCUUUUGCAGGGGAAGAAGAAGAUGACGGUACCUUGCGAACAAGUCCCGGCUAACUACGUG
rnacentral:rRNA from 1 species